CCCCAGUAACGGCGAGUGAAGCGGCAACAGCUCAAAUUUGAAAUCUGGUCCCUAGGGCCCGAGUUGUAAUUUGUAGAGGAUGCUUUUGGUGAGGUGCCGCCCGAGUUCCCUGGAACGGGACGCCACAGAGGGUGAGAGCCCCGUCUGGCUGGCCGCCGAGCCUCUGUAAAGCUCCUUCGACGAGUCGAGUAGUUUGGGAAUGCUGCUCAAAAUGGGAGGUAUAUGUCUUCUAAAGCUAAAUAUUGGCCAGAGACCGAUAGCGCACAAGUAGAGUGAUCGAAAGAUGAAAAGCACCUUGAAAAGAGGGUUAAAUAGUACGUGAAAUUGUUGAAAGGGAAGCGCUUGUGACCAGACUUGGGCGCGGCGGAUCAUCCGGGGUUCUCUCCGGUGCACUUCGCCGCGUCUAGGCCAGCAUCAGUUCGUCGCGGGGGAAAAAGGCUUCGGGAACGUGGCUCCUCCGGGAGUGUUAUAGCCCGUUGCAUAAUACCCUGCGGUGGACUGAGGACCGCGCAUCUGCAAGGAUGCUGGCGUAAUGGUCACCAGCGACCCGUCUUGAAACACGGACCAAGGAGUCGUCUUCGUAUGCGAGUGUUCGGGUGUCAAACCCCUACGCGUAAUGAAAGUGAACGCAGGUGAGAGCUUCGGCGCAUCAUCGACCGAUCCUGAUGUUCUCGGAUGGAUUUGAGUAAGAGCAUACGGGGCCGGACCCGAAAGAAGGUGAACUAUGCCUGUAUAGGGUGAAGCCAGAGGAAACUCUGGUGGAGGCUCGCAGCGGUUCUGACGUGCAAAUCGAUCGUCAAAUAUGGGCAUGGGGGCGAAAGACUAAUCGAACCUUCUAGUAGCUGGUUUCCGCCGAAGUUUCCCUCAGGAUAGCAGUGUUGAGCUCAGUUUUAUGAGGUAAAGCGAAUGAUUAGGGACCCGGGGGCGCUAUAUUGCCUUCAUCCAUUCUCAAACUUUAAAUAUGUAAGAAGCCCUUGUUACUUAGUUGAACGUGGGCAUUCGAAUGUAUCAACACUAGUGGGCCAUUUUUGGUAAGCAGAACUGGCGAUGCGGGAUGAACCGAACGCGAGGUUAAGGUGCCAGAGUAGACGCUCAUCAGACACCACAAAAGGCGUUAGUACAUCUUGACAGCAGGACGGUGGCCAUGGAAGUCGGAAUCCGCUAAGGACUGUGUAACAACUCACCUGCCGAAUGUACUAGCCCUGAAAAUGGAUGGCGCUCAAGCGUCUCACCCAUACCUCGCCCUC
rnacentral:rRNA from 1 species